rnacentral:rRNA from 1 species
AAGAAUGAUUUAGUGGUUAGGGGGUAAAUUCCGUAGAGAUCACUAGGAAUACCAAAAGCGAAAGGCAAUCUUUUGGAACANUACUGACGCUGAGGCGCGAAAGCGUGGGGAGCAAACAGGAUUAGAUACCCUGGUAGUCCACGCCCUAAACGAUGAAUGUUAGUCGUCGGGAGGCUWGUCCUUUCGGUGAUGCAGUUAACACAUUAAACAUUCCGCCUGGGGAGUACGGUCGCAAGAUUAAAACUCAAAGGAAUAGACGGGGACCCGCACAAGUGGUGGAGCAUGUGGUUUAAUUCGAAGAUACGCGAAGAACCUUACCUAGCCUUGACAUUGAUAGAAUCUGGUAGAGAUASYGGAGUGCCCUUCGGGGAGCUUGAAAACAGGUGCUGCACGGCUGUCGUCAGCUCGUGUCGUGAGAUGUUGGGUUAAGUCCCGCAACGAGCGCAACCCUCGUUAUUAGUUACUAACGGUUCGGCCGAGGACUCUAAMAAGACUGCCUUCGUAAGGAGGAGGAAGGUGAGGACGACGUCAAGUCAUCAUGGCCCUUACGGCYAGGGCAACACACGUGCUACAAUGGUCAGGACAAUGAGACGCAAUACCGCGAGGUGGAGCAAAUCUAUAAACCUKGUCUCAGUUCGGAUUGUWGUCUGCAACUCGAGUACAUGAAGCUGGAAUCACUAGUAAUCGUAGAUCAGCYAUGCUACGGUGAAUACGUUCCCGGGUCUUGUACUCACCGCCCGUCACACCAUGGGAGUUGAUUUCACCCGAAGCGGGGAAGCUAAACUGGCUACCCUCCACGGUGGAAUUAGCGACUGGGGUGAAGUGGUAACAAGGUAAUCCAAGGG